GACGAACGCUGGCGGCGUGCUUAACACAUGCAAGUCGAACGGAAAGGCCCUGCUUUUGUGGGGUGCUCGAGUGGCGAACGGGUGAGUAACACGUGAGUAACCUGCCCUUGACUUUGGGAUAACUUCAUGAAACUGGGGCUAAUACCGGCUAGGAGCUCCUGCUGCAUGGUGGGGGUUGGAAGGUUUCGGCGGUUGGGGAUGGACUCGCGGCUUAUCAGCUUGUUGGGGGGGUAGUGGCUUACCAAGGCUUUGACGGGUAGCCGGCCUGGGAGGGUGGCCGGCCCAAUUGGGAUUGGGAUACGGCCCAGACUACAACGGGAGGCAGCGGAGGAGAAUAUUGCACAAUGGGCGGAAGGAUGAUGCAGCAACGCCGCGUGCGGGAUGACGGGAAUCGGGUUGUAAACCGCUUUCGCCUGUGACGAAGCGUGAGUGACGGUAAUGGGUAAAGAAGCACCGGCUAACUACGUG
rnacentral:rRNA from 1 species